CAAUUCCUCACGCUGGGGUGACCCCCCAACCACAAAAUUACUUCGUUGCUACUUUAUAACUGUAAUUUUGCUAUGUUUAUGAAUCUUAAUAUAAAUAUCUUAUAUACAGGAUAUCUGAUAUGAAACCCCUGUAAAAGGGUAGUUUGACCCCUGAAGAGGUCGAGACCCACAGGUUGAGAACCUCUGUUUUAAGUACUGGCUGAACAUAGGGUCUUUGUUUUGUCUUGUCUUUGAGAUGGGGUCUCACGUAGUCCAGGCUAGCCUCUCCCCUUUGUCCUGAUGACUUUGAGCAUCUGGUCCUCCAGUCUCCACCUCCCAAGUGCUGGGAUUACACACACAGAACCCUGUGCUUAUGAGUGUAUUUAGGGAAACAAAGUUGUUUUACACAGGACUAGAGUGAUGUGGAAAGUUAGCAGCCCCCCCCCCCCCGUCUGUCUGCAAUCUACUUCCUAUUCUGUCUGUCCUCUUCUCCAUGCCUGCCCUCCUCCCUUGGCCAGUCUGCCUUCCUCUGUCCAGUCCCCAGGCAGGAAGGGAGGGAGGGAGGGAGACAGAUAGGCAGGCAGGCAGACAGACAUACAUAUAGACAGACAGACCAGGAAAAGAGUGGCAUGUGGCUGGCGGUGGGAUUUAGAGAACCAGGGCUGUGAUGCUUCUUAGGCACAAGGAGACCAUGUGUAAAACAUUAGCUAACAGCAGGUGUCAACCUAAGUGUAUGACCAGUCCAGACCCAAUCAAUAUCCCUCACGCACCCUUCGACCUUUACAUUUUCUGGCCAUAAGCAACAGCAACUAAAAUAUCCCAAACCUCAUCCAGCCAUGGUCCAGACAGUGGGCUCCAGGUCUCCUUCCUGCCGAAAUGCGACAGAGCCACUCUCGUUAGCAUGCUCUUCUCAGCCGUGAUUCAUGUUCUUCUGGGAGAAAAAAAUGUAUGUGCUCAAAAGACAGAAACUUGCUCUCAUUAUCACUUCAUAAGGAUCCCUGGGCCAGAAUACAGAGCUACAGACAUAGAUUUGUGCUCAACUCACAAGCUCCUUCUCCUCAGCUAUCUUCACUGAAAAUUCUGUGUUCGUUUAACUAGCAAGGAGAAUGGAGACAGGAAGUCACUUACGGAGGUGUGUGGACGGUCGACACAUUUACAUUUCUAUCCUGACCUGCUAAUACACAACCUGGAGUUGUGGGGCAAGAGCUGCCUUCAACCCAAACACUCAUUUUCACCACAGAUUCUGCACCCGAAGACAACAGCAAAGUUUUUCUUUCUUCCCUUCGAAGAUCUAAGGGUCAUGGUUCAGCUGACCACACAGCGAUCAGCAACCUGCCUUUUUCAAGUUCCAUCCACAGUCUACGGUUUAAGCCAUGCCGUGAUUAACCCUGACACGUGGCCUCUUCUCCAGAAAACCCUUCCAGGCUGCAGACAAGUCUGUCUUACUCAAUUAAAUACUGGCUGCCUGGAUCCGGAUUUGGCCGGAAGCUACCCUAAAGGACUUGAUGUUGAAAGAAGACUGUCUUUGGGGGGAAGGUAGACGUUUCCCGUGUGUAAAAGUUGCUUUGUGUUACAUUGUCUUACAUUGUCUUUUGUUCAUGCCUCUGUGUUGUGUGUUUUGUGUUACAUUGUUUUGGUUUGGUUUUACACCUGUGGGGUGUGUCUGUGUGUGUGUGUGUGCGCGCGUGCAGGUGCCUGUGUUUGCAUAUGUGCAUAUGUUUCUGAGUGUAUAUGAGUAUAUGCAUGUGGAGGACAGAAGUUGAUAUCGGGUGUCUUCCUCUAUAACUCUCUGCCUUAUCUUUUGGGGCAAGGUCUCUCACUGAACCUAAUACUCAUCAAUUUGGCUAGGCUAGCAAGCCAGCAAGCCCCCAGGGAUCCUUGUGGUUCUCCCUCCCCAGAUCUAGGAUUACAGAUGCUCAGCAUGUUUAAGUGGACACUAGGGAUCUAAAAUCAGUCCUCACAUUGGCAAUGAACCAUCUCUCCAGCCUGCUUUGGUUUUGGGGUUUCUUUAUUUUGGGGUGUGUGUGUGUGUGUGUGUGUGUGUGUGUGUGUGUGUGUGUGCGUUUCCAAAUGAAAGCAUCCUACGAUCAAUUAAUUUAGGCAAGAAUUAAUUUUAUUUAAUUAAUUUUAAAUCAGGAAUCCACAUGCCUGAGAGGAUGAGGCAGAACCUUCGGGGGUGAGUUUGAGGCCAAUUUGGACGACAGCCAGACCUUGCCUCCAUCAAUCCAUUUAUCAUUAAAUCAGUAGUAAUUUUAGUCAUUCCUCUGGGUGGAUUGUUCAGCCUCCUCCAAGGAGAGGAUGGGAUGUAAAUAAAAGGAUAACUUCAGAGACAAUGUCUGUGUGAGGAAAUGCAGGGAAAGAUGACUGAGGUACCUUUUGUGGUUUCUCUCUUGCUCCCCCUCAACUAGACCAAUGAAGCUUUGAGUUUGUUCCUCUUUGUAAACAUUCAGCACCAACCCUUUCUCAGUUGUGUUUCCUGUUGUGGUAAGGCACCCUGACGAAGUCAUUAAAGGAAGUGCCGAUUUGGCUCAUAGUUUACCAUGGCGGCAGGAGCUUCAGGUAACUGUUCAUAUUGUGUCUGCAGUUCAAAGGCAGAGAGAGAGGAGUGCUUUGUGUCCAGCUCUCAUUUUCCUUGUUGUAGAGUGUGUAGCAUCCCAGCUAGGGGAUGACGCCACCCACUAUGGACAGACCCUUCUACCUUAAGUAACCUAACCAAGACAGCUUCCCACAGACAAGCUCAGAGGCCCGGCUUCCUGGAUGAUUCUAUAUGUCAUCACAUUGACAACUGAGUUUAACCAUCACAACACCCCACCCUCAAACUGCCUUUUUUUUUUUUUAUCUAUGAUGUAUUUUCUAUUUGUUAUCCUCAUAUCCCUCCACCCUGGUCACCUCAUUAUAAAUAAGUCACUUUUUUACAAAGGCAAGUUCAGCCACUCUCGUACACACACACACACACACACACACACACACACACACCUACCUCACAACAUUGGAUUUUCAGGCACAAAUAUGACUGCAUUCAGAAUUUUAAAGGGAUGAAGGAUCUUCAGACUCAGGUCCUCAUACUCGAUCAGCAAGCAUCGAUCUUUCUAGCCCCAUAGGUUAUAUCUUGAUUGGUAAGAUUAAUUUACGGGGUCGGGGAGAUGGCUCAGUGGUUAAGAGCACUGAUUGCUCUUCCAGAGGUCCUGAGUUCAAAUCCCAGCACCCACAUGGUGGCUCAUAGCCAUCUGUAAUGGGAAUCCGAUGUCCUUUUCUGGUGUGUCUGAAGACAGCCACAGUGUGUUCACAUAGAAUAAAUAAAUCUUUAAAAGACAAAAGAAAAAAAGGAAAGGAAAGAUUACUGGGUGGUGGUGGCGCUUGCCUUUAAUCCCAGCACUUGGGAGGCAAAGACUGGCAGAGCUCUGUGAGUUCAAGGACAGCCUAGUUUACAGAGAGCUAAUUUAUGAUAUAGAAAGGCAAAGACAUUUCAGUCAACCAUACAAGUACAUGCCUCCUAUAACACGAGUAUUUAGAAGUCAGAAGCAAGAAUGUAGGGGUUUGAGGCUAGCCUGAGCUAGGGGACCCAGUUGGAAAAAAAAAAAAAAAGCAAGGUCCACAAGAAGAUAGUUUCUAAAACAUCACUCACUGUGUUCUCAUAAUCUGGAAUGAUCCAAAUGAUUUAAGAAUAUCCUAUUCUUUAUUCUAUUAAAGCCUACACACACACACACACACACACACACACACAUAUAUACAUAUACAUAUAUGUAUAUGUAUGUAUGUAUAUAUGUUUGUCAACUCCUCCCACGCCUUAUAUAGUGAGCUUGUGAAGAGAUCCUCCAAACCCUGGUGCAGACCAAAGACCUACACCCUAAGCCUGAGAUACACGUGUAGCUGCAGGGCUGUGAGGAGGGGGUCUAAGAAAGAUAAGACCAAAUCACCAGUGUCUCAGUUUUCCUCUCUAAAUGGCUUCUGCAAGCCAGGUUAAGGGAGCCAAGUUGAAAGCCAAACACAGACAACAGCUGUCGAGGAUGUCUCUGUAGCCAGGAAGCUGGGUGUGGUCACCCAGAAGCCAACUUCUAACCCCACCCUAGGAGCCAGUGAGAGGCUGGGAAGAGAUCUUCCCGAAUUGCAUUCCCUCCCUCCCUGCUGGCUUCAGGAUCAUGCCAGAGACGGGCUGCAAGCUACAUGACAGUCCUACACAGUCCCCUUUUGCAAUGUUUUCCUGAAGACACUAAGCUUCUGAAAAUCCCACAUCCAGACAGCCAAGACUCAGGGCAGACCUGCAAUGACCGCUUAGCCCUGCCCAUAGCCAAGAGUAUGAGGCAUGAGUCAAUGCCACUAUCGGUGUCAAGGGGCCGAGUGGACCUGACUUGCAUGCGUCUUUCCUGCAUUGUGCAAGUCAGGAGUGAACUCCACAGGCAUCUCUGUUCCCUUCCACAACUUCCUAGGAGCCCUGUGGACAGGACCAUGAACUGUCAUGACUCAAUUCACCAUCCCUUUUCUUGGAAACCCUGGUGGCUCCAUUCUCCAGAAAGAAUCCAUCAAAAGCAUUUCUUUGCUGAAGUCAUCUGGCAAAAACUCCCAUCAUCAAAUUCCCCAUGCUGGGCUCUCUGCUUCACUGUGUAACAACAGACUCAAGGAUGGAUUACAAAUUAAUUUUUGUUUGGGGGGGUGGGAUUGGUUUUGGGGCUUUUGGUUUGUUUGUUUGAUUGAGUUGUGGUUUUGAAACAUGGUUUCUCUGUUGUGUGAUUCAGGUGUCCUAGAACUAGCGCUGUAGACCAGACUGGCCUCGAACUCACCUGUCUCUGUCUCCCGAGAGCUGCGAUUAGAGUGUGGUACCACUGCCUGGCUCUCUUACCUUUUUAAAUCAUGAAAAAUUUCAGACCCUUCCACUGGGGAAGAAAGAUAUGCACAGCGUCAGUUGGCUUCUUGUACUCUGUGGGCCCCAGGGGUCAGACUUGGGCCAUCAGACUGGUUGGCAAGAAGCUUUACCCACUGAGUGGUCUCUCCAUCCCUUGCCCGAGUUUUUGAAAAGUGCGGGGCAAAUGCAACAGUGUUUCAUUCCUCAGUACUUCAGCUUUCAUCUCUGGCGAGCACUGGCUUCUCUCUCUAACAACUUCAGCAGGAACCACUAGUUCCUUAGUAGCAACUGGUUAGUCGUUAUCUACAUUCAUUCAAUAAACCGUGGAAACUAUACUUUUUAUUUCAUGGAAUUACAGUCAACAGAGCAAUACUUGGGAUCAUAAACUCCCCUGAGGGAAAAAAAUCAGAAACGCCCUGCCCCUAAGAAUACUGUGAUUUGCAUUUUCACAGUGAAAAGGGGCUCAGCCAUCCAGAGUAAGCAGUAGACCGGAAGCCUGCAGCCCUUGCAGGGAGAAGUGAAGGGCAGGCAUGGGAGGGGAUGGCUUUUCUUCCUUUUUUGGACACUCAGGAGACUUUAAAAGGGCUUUGGCAUCACUUCCUUGUCUGCACAUCUAUUUUUCUUCUUAACUAAUUUUUAAAGGACUAUUGUCAAGUUCCAGGUAAAGGGAGUACCUUAAAAAUAGACACUAUUCUGCAGAAACAUUUUGGAAAAUCCAGUGUCUGGGUGUCUACUAGCAUGUGUGUAGAACAGACAGGAACUGGUCUUCAUGUACGGUAAUCGCAGUGAAGGGUUUUCAAUUUUUAAUUUCUUUUGUUCUGAGUGUUCUGCCUUUGCAGUCUCCACUUACUCUGCACAUCUAGACUCAGGAGAACUUAAAGCGGGUCACGUUCACCUCGGUAAAAGUGGGACCUAAGAGUUGGAGAAGUAGCUCAGUGGGUAAAGUUGCUUGUCACACAAGCCUCAAGACCUGAGUUUGAUCUCUAGAACUGGCAUGAUAGGAAGCAAUCACACACACACACACACACACACACACACACACACACACACACACACACAUCCAUACAUGCCUUCAUGCACAAAAAUGAUAAUGCGGUUAUUUUUUAAUUCUUAAGUGGAAAGUCACAAGCACAGCUUGUGGAAUGCCUUUGCCUCAAGGACAAGCUGACAAACCCAGCCCAACUCCCCCAAAUCCCAAAUAGACUUUAGGCCACUACCUGUGUGUGGCUAGGCCUCUGACCCAGAUCACCAGCCACUUGACCGGCACAAGGGUCUGUGAACUUUCCCUUCACUUAACUCCUGUUCUUUUCUGCUGUUGCCUUCUUCCGGCUUUUCUUCACUUUAUGCAAGAGUGUGCCAGGGGUUAGGUCACUUACACAGAAGAGCCGCCAGGAGCUGGAGUGAGGUGAGGGCUAUGCCUAACAAGAUGGACAGCGCCUGAUAAGCAGACCGGCCCUACGCCCAGCCCUUGCUAAGACGAGCUCAGUUUCUGUAGACUUCAGCUCCCCCGCUGGAAAUGUGUUGGGGGUGUCUUCAUGAUUUAUGUCUCUGCCCACUUUGCUCUUCUCUGAUCUCUCCACACGAACUCGAUUAUUCAGUCUGGCUUUUCUGACACUCUGGCAUCAGCAGGCAGUCCGCUGCCAGUGCAGAGCCCUUUACUCUGCUCUGUCUGUCUCUGUUCCUCUUAUCAUAGUUAAUUAUCAGUUGUCACCACCGCACCCCACCCGUCCAACACAUGCCCAGAGCGGUGUGCAAGCACCAAGAACUCUUGCGUAGCACGGAAGGUCUCCUUCAGAGCAAAGGCUUCUCCUUUUCUUCUACAUAUAAGUGAAUCCAUAGGGAGAUGUUUCCAGAGACAGUACACCCCAGAGUAAUACCUCUCUUCUAAACCUCUGUCCCCUAAGGAAGUCAACAGAACAUGUGUCAUUUGUUCCCGAACUUUGUCCCUGCCUUGCAGGGAUCUACCUGACCCUUCCCAACUGCUUGGCGUUAACAAAAACAUUCAGGCACGUAGGCGUUUAGAGUAACCCAUCCCUCUGGAGCUGUACCACAGAAAGGUGUUCCCUCAACACAAAGGUUUAUUACUUUCUUCCCCCACAGAAAAAACACAGGAAUAUUUCCUUCUUGACUGCUGCUAAAGAACCGGCCAGACACUUCCUCCUUGGCGGUACGAGAAGACUUUACGAUAGCGUUUGAAACUUUACCUCCACACACCUGCCUCAUAACCUUUCCCUCUUCCAACAGCUCUUCUAUUUCCUCAGAGUCAGGGCUUUGUGGCUGCCUCCCCAGGCAGCUGGGGCUCUGGGUCCCUGUUGCUAUUAAUAAUGGAUGGGUCUUAUUGAAUUGCACACCUGCCAGAAACCAGGCACGGCGAUUAACGAACUGGCUGGAGUUUUUGGUCGAGGUGGCUGUUUUUUAAUUUUUUGUGGGCCGCGUGCAUAUUGCAGAGUUCGCUUUCUCCUGCUUUCGCAUGUUUUCUGGGGAUUGAACUCAGGUCAUCGAGUUUGUGUGGCAAGCCACCAAAUCAUCCGGCUGGCCCUGGGCUUGAGUUUUUAGCCAGUCUAUCUGCUGCCUGGACAGUCACUGUCUGUACUCAGGGCAGAGUCUGCUUCGUGCCUCUGCUGCUGCUCGUAGACUUUCACAAGUGUAUUUGCAGAAAGGGAGUUGGUUUUCCACUCGCAGAGCCAGUCCCUUGCUAGCUGGUUCUUCCUCAUUCACCUGCUCCUAAUCUGCGGGCUGGGUACCGUGGACUCUGGCCUGUGACUCAGAGCUGCCACCUUCCCUAGAUGUGACACCGAUGGUGGCCUGAGGGCUGCAGUAGACAGAAUAAUGAUCUCCAAGAAUGCCUACAUCUUGGAACCUGUGAGUCUGUUUCCUUACAUGGUCUUUGCAGAUAUGAUUAAGCUAGGGACCUUGAGAUGGAGAGAUUACCCUGGAUUAGCCUGGAAAGCACGCUGUAAUCACGAAGGUCCUUAUAAGGGCAGGAGCAAAGCAGGAGAGUCAGAGGAGUGAGGACUGCAGUGAGGUUGGAGGGGCCAAGGAAUGCAGGCAGCCUUCGCAAUCUGAGAAGGCUAAGAGAAUAUUUGCUGCUGGAUUCGAACCUCCUGAAAAGCGCUGCCCACACUGUUGCCUCCAUUUCAGGCUUGAAGACUUCUAGAUCAGGAGACUAAUCCAUAUGAGGUGUUUUCAGUCGUCAAGUGUGAGGUAGCAUACACCUGCAACACCAAGGUCACAGAGGGAAGCCAUUGCUAUAAAAAGUGCGGCAGACGCAGCACCGCAAAAGACAAAACUCUAAGCCUGACUGCUUCCUAGUGGACCACCUUCGCCAUGUCCUCACGACAUACGUUUCAGCCCGCCCUUGUCCCUGCUCCCUUGGAUCCUGCUACAGGGAGAUACUCUGUAAGUCUCAGCUGGCGUUCACCAGCUUGGUCCUUGCCCUCAGAGUUCCUGAAGAAAGAUGAACUUAGCUACCCUCAGGCUGAGCCAUAGCAAACUUCAAGUCUCUACGCCCUGUUCUCUCCUCCUCUCUCCUCUUAGGGUUUUAUCACCUUGGAACAGCUCUUAGAGGAGGGGGGUGGGGAGGGAAAACAGCCUUAGUCUAAAUCUGUUAGUAAUUGCCUCUUCCCACAACAAGCUGCUGAGAAUUUGAGAAGUGUGAGCUUUUUCUUCUUCUAAGAAGGACCCUCUUCCACCACCCCCCACCCCCAAGUGCAUAUACUACCUUUUUUUUUUUUUUAAAAUUCUGGAGGUCUAACCUAGGGCAUGUUGCAUGCUAAAUCCACAUUAUACCACAAAGAAACCUUCAGCCAGAUUAUCUCUUCCUUAAAACUUUUAUUACAUUUAUCUGUUAUUUGUGCAUGCGUGUGUUCCGAUAAAUGCCACAGCCCGAGUGUGGAGGUCAGAGGACAACUUGCAGGGGUCACUCCUCUCUUCUACCAGGUAGAUCUCAGGACCCAACUCCCACUGUCAGGUUGCAGCCCACGCACCCUCUCAACAGCCUGUCUUUGUACUUUUCUGUUGCUCUUACUCAUUUUGGGUUCCGUUGUUGUGGGCAGUUGUGAGCUUCCUGGCUUGAGUGAUAGGAACCAAGCUCUGGCCCUCUACAAGAGAAGCAAAUGCUCUUAACCACUGGGCCAGGUCUGCAGCCCCUGUUCGUUUUUGAGAUGAGGUCUUAUGCUGGAUAAGCACUCUUCUAACUGAACUACAUCCUUAGCCCCUGGUUUAUUUCUGUUUGUUUGUGGGGUUUUCUUUUGGUUUGUGGGGGUGGGGGACUGCUUUGUGUUUGUUUUGUGUUUGUUUGUUUGUUUGUUUGUUUGUUUGCCUUUUCCAGACUGGCUAAGUGGAUCUUCCUGGCCUAGAACUCACUCUGUACAGAGGCUGGCCUUGAACUCAUGAUCCUUCUGACUCAGCCUUCUAAGUUCUGGGCUCAUAGGUAUAUACUACCAAAGUCAGCCAGUAUCUCUUAAAAAACAAAACAAACAGCACCAUUCAUUUAUUUAUUUAUUUGCCAGGAAGUGGCAUGAACCCGACGGGGGGGGGGGGGGUGGAGGUGUCAAAGGUUAAAGGGCAAAGAGUCAGGUCUCUCCUACCAGGUUAAGUCGCAGGGAUAGAAUUCAGAUAGUCAGGCUUGGAGGCAAAGGCCUUUAUCUGCUGAGCCAUCUCACUGGCCCAGAUGCCUCUUAGUGGUCACACAGGACCCUUUUCUUCUCACCAGGGUUAUUUUCCUAACCAAGGAAGAGGGCAAACCUGAUCAAGCACGGGCACCAUGAGCUAAUUACUUCAAUUAAAACAGACUCCAACUCUGGGCAUUGAAGACUUUCACAAGGAAGAAUUGUUGGCUGAAGACUCCAGUUAUUCUUACCGCCAUUCACUACACAAUGCUGGUUGCAGGGUAAUUAUUGUACUAUAAACCAUGGUACUUUCUGUACUUGUUUACUGGGCGCCAGGAACGCCACUAAAUUUUUUACCUAUUUUAGCUCACUGAAGCUUUUCCCAUGAGACUGGGACGGCCAUUAUCCCUACUUCGAAGAUGAAGAGAUUAUGGUGAUGGAGAUUCAGGACACUGCUGGAGCUCAGACUGCUAAGAGGAGGUGAAGUCAGGGCUCUACAGGGUUGCCUGGAAGUCAUGCCCUCUCUACCACACUUGCUGCCCACACUUGAUAAAGGGCUUUCGAGUGUACACUGGGUUUCUAUUCCCAGAUUAAAGAUUCAUGACCAAUUUGACCACUGUGGGAAUUACAGGGUUUUUUUUUUUCUGGUACAGGGUUUCUCUGUGUAGCCCUGGGUGUCCUAGAACUCAUUCUGUAGACCAGGCUAGCCUCAAACUCAGAGAUCCACCUGCCUCUGCCUCCCAAGUGCUAGGAUUAAAGGCGUGCACUGCCACCCAGCUAACA